rfam:Albugo candida, Ac Nc2, WGS project CAIX01000000 data, contig: AcNc2_CONTIG_3073_length_238
GCCUUUCUAGCUCAGUUGGUAGAGCGCUGGCCUUUUAAGCCAGUGGUCGUGGGUUCGAGCCCCACGGAGGGCA